rnacentral:rRNA from 1 species
UGCCUAACACAUGCAACUCGCGCGAGAAAGCUCCUUCGGGAGUUAGUAAAGCGGCGAACGGGUGAGCAACGCGUGAGAAUCUGCCCUUUAGUGAAGAAUACCCUCGAGAAAUCGAGGCUAAUACUGCAUAAGUCCCUUCGGGGAGAAAGAUGGCCUCUUUGCUAUCGCUAAAGGAUGAGCUUGCGUACUAUUAGCUAGUUGGCGGGGUAAAGGCCCACCAAGGCGAUGAUGGUUAACCGGCCUGAGAGGGUGUACGGUCACACUGGAACUUAGACACGGUCCAGACUCCUACGGGAGGCAGCAGUGAGGAAUCUUGCGCAAUGGGCGAAAGCCUGACGCAGCGACGCCGCGUGGAGGAUGAAGGUCUUCGGAUUGUAAACUCC